rnacentral:rRNA from 1 species
UAAGACGAAGGUGGCAAGCGUUACUCGGAAUUACUAGGCGUAAAGCGCGAGCAGGCGGUUCGGUAAGUCUGUCGUGAAAGCCCCGGGCUCAACCCGGGGAGGUCGAUGGAUACUGCCGGACUCGAAUACGGGAGAGGUCACUGGAAUUCCUGGUGUAGCGGUGAAAUGCGUAGAUAUCAGGAGGAACACCGAAGGCGAAGGCAGGUGACUGGACCGUUAUUGACGCUGAGUCGCGAAAGCCGGGGGAGCAAACAGGAUUAGAUACCCUGGUAGUCCCGGCUGUAAACUAUGUUCACUAGGUGUGGGAGGUAUCAACCCCUUCCGCGCCGACGCUAACGCAUUAAGUGAACCGCCUGGGGAGUACGGCCGCAAGGUUG